UACGGAGGAUGCGAGCGUUAUCCGGAUUUAUUAGGUUUAAAGGGUGCGUAGGCGGUCCGUUAAGUCAGCGGUAAAAUUGCGGGGCUCAACCCCGUCGAGCCAUUGAAACUGGCAGACUUGAGUUGGCGAGAAGUACGCGGAAUGCGCGGUGUAGCGGUGAAAUGCAUAGAUAUCGCGCAGAACUCCGAUUGCGAAGGCAGCGUACCGGCGCCAGACUGACGCUGAGGCACGAAAGCGUGGGGAUCGAACAGG
rnacentral:rRNA from 1 species